rnacentral:rRNA from 1 species
UACAUGGGGUGCAAACGUUGCUCGGAAUUAUUGGGCGUAAAGCGCACGUAGGCGGUCCGUUAAGUCGGAUGUGAAAGCCCUCGGCUCAACUGAGGAAGUGCACCCGAAACUGGCGAGCUUGAGUACGAAAGAGGAUCGCGGAAUUCCCGGUGUAGAGGUGAAAUUCGUAGAUAUCGGGAGGAACACCGGUGGCGAAGGCGGCAUCCUGGACCGGUAUUGACGCUGAGGCGCGAAAGCUAGGGGAGCAAACGGG